CAAGCUGUCAGGCAUAGCCUAAUCAUGUCCUUGUACUCAGAAUUACCGGAUUUCGGUGCGGUUUGGGCAUAGACUACCCUGGGGCUACACUGAAGAUGCUGUCAGAGCUAUAGCCUACUUCCUAAACUGGAGGGGCUUCACAAAUCAAAUUCUUUUUUUUUGUUCGUUUAGAAUCUAUCCAUUCUAACAAUAAAAAUAGCCUAUAUGUAUUUUUGCUCAAACAGACUAAAUAAUACCUAACCUAAGCCUAUAAUGUACCCUACAUUAUGUUCUGGGGUUAAGACUGUGCAGCCUAGGGUCAAAGGCAUUACAGACUGUGGUACAGGGUGGCGCGUGCUGUGGGGCAAGCGUGCACCUGCAUUUAUUUACAGUGAGCGCGAGUUGAAUCGCUACUCUUCCAGGUCCCUGUGGUCGCACACAAGAUGACAGAAAAUAAUGAUGCUCCUCUACGUCCCGCUGAAAUGUCUGAAACAACGAUUGCCAAGUCUGUGUGGAAACUGAGACGUUAUGGACGUCUUUUACCGACAAGCAAGAAAGAAUGUAGUAACACUUCUUGGAAGGUGUACGACUCCACCAAGAGUGAGGGCCAGAUAGAUCUAAGCAUCUUGGAGUCUGGUCAUUUCCUUGUGUCCCAGUCUGAAGAGCUCUUGGAAGGGUUCUCCCUGAUAAAUGCUGCUGGCUUCAUGAAAGUGCAGAAGAAGGGAGACGUUCUGCUCUUUCAAGCGACCGUGAAGG
ensembl:lncRNA